UAUAUUUUCAAUGGUUGGUUUUGUAUUCACCUAUUUAAUCUGAAAUAUUAUUAUUUUGUUUUCUUUUUGCAGAUUAGAGAGUAGCGGAAACCCAAAGAGAGAAGUGGUGACCUUGAAUCCACCAACCAUCCAAACUGAUGGAACCGCCUAUUAGGAUCUCUUGAAUGAAGCUUAUGAUCAUUGUGGUGAAGUCUUUGCUGAGUAUGCCAGAAUAUUUAAUUGGCUAUUCUGCUGUUGAGCCUCUGUUCAGAUUGAUAAUGGGAUUUUCAGUGCUUAAUUUGGAUGGGCUGCCUGGUCUUGCACCUUUUGAGGUUUCCCCCGAAAAAAGAGAGGAAAAAGUGUAAUCUUUUAGAUGUUGUUUUAGACAUAGUUCACACUUCACAUAAGCUCAUGUUUUGUUGUAGGGUUGUGUUGGACAUAAUGUUCUUUAGGCGAUUCAUUGAGUAUUUUUUCUUUUUAUUUAUUUCUUUGUCCUGUAAUGUUUGAACUUCUCUGCAAAUAUGUACUGCAGCAUUGAUUUUUGUUCAAUUCUUUUAUUGUUGUUGUUUGUUGUUCUCUUAGACUUGUAAAAUUGUAGUGACAUGUAAACCUAAGAGGCGUUAUUGUCUUAAAACUUUUGAUUGUUUGUCCUGUAUAUGAGACAAGAAUUCUGUAUCUAAUUCGUUUUGCGUGUGAGUCGUACUGGCCAAAUGUGAGAUUUAAGUUGAGAUCUGGAAGGAUUUUUACUAUAAUGAGUAGAAAUGACUUCGUGGAAAACUUAAAAUUAGGAUCAACUUUAUGUUUGGUUCUUGUGGGCUUCUUACUUAGGGAUACUUCAAAAGUGUUCUUCUUCUUUGUAUUUUUUUGAGCUGAAAGCAUGUUGUAUAAACUUUAUUGCAUGGUCCUCUCUUGAUGAUGCCUUGUCCUCUGUUUUUUUGAGCAGCUGCAGCUUUUUAUCUAUUCAUAUUUCAAUGUUCUUUAUUUUUUUCUUUUCAAUGAUUUUCCAUUUGCCAACUUGCUUAUUACUGUGAUGAUUGCUCUUUUUUCUCUAUCUCAAGGAAUUAAAACUAAUGUGAAUUGAACUCUAACCUUGAGAACC